AGCGAACGCUGGCGGCAGGCUUAACACAUGCAAGUCGAGCGGGCGUAGCAAUACGUCAGCGGCAGACGGGUGAGUAACGCGUGGGAACGUACCUUUUGGUUCGGAACAACCCAGGGAAACUUGGGCUAAUACCGGAUAAGCCCUUACGGGGAAGAUUUAUCGCCGAAAGAUCGGCCCGCGUCUGAUUAGCUAGUUGGUGAGGUAACGGCUCACCAAGGCGACGAUCAGUAGCUGGUCUGAGAGGAUGAUCAGCCACAUUGGGACUGAGACACGGCCCAAACUCCUACGGGAGGCAGCAGUGGGGAAUAUUGGACAAUGGGCGCAAGCCUGAUCCAGCCAUGCCGCGUGAGUGAUGAAGGCCCUAGGGUUGUAAAGCUCUUUUGUGCGGGAAGAUAAUGACGGUACCGCAAGAAUAAGCCCCGGCUAA
rnacentral:rRNA from 1 species